ensembl:lncRNA
GUCGCAGCCCAAGUUGACAGUGCAUACAGGCAUAACAAACAGGUGGAGGAAAACAGGUACGUGGGAGACCGCAUGUGGGUAUCGCCAGAGGAGCGAAAAUGUUUAUGUUUAUUUUUAGGAUGGAGCAAGUACAGUACUCCACGGCACCAUAGAAGUACUCCACGGCACCAUAGAGGUGCUCCACGGCACCAUAGAGGUACUCCACGGCACCAUGCGGAGGACUGCAACAAAGGAGUUGACUUAAGGAUGCCCCACGUGGGACUACACCAAAGUGGCACUGUUGUUGUUCCUACAAUGCUAAUUGUAAAUCUCAGAACCGCGACACGAAGGCUCUGCUCUCACAAGACACACAAUAACAGGAAACAGAUUGAAACACUGACUGCCACUAUGCUGAGUGAUGGUUCAUUUAUUCUGCCUUUUAAGAAUAGGUGGCUCCUGGGGACCCGGGUGUGAGAGCCACUCUGAUAUGGAUGAAAUGUGACAUAACUGCUUCUCUCAACGUUGUUAGUCCCCCAGCCACCCAGACAUGGCCUUGAUAUGGUCUUGGAAUUAAGGGAAUCAGAAGAAACUACGAGGUCUCGCUGGAUAAAGUUACUCAAUCCAGAAAUUCCAUCUGCCUUUCUUUUGUGUUGUAAGUGCUAAGCUACUUUGAAUUGAGUCAAAUAGUGGUGAUGACACACUUAAAUGUUCAUUAAACUUUAUUUGCACAAACCCCUAAAGGACGUUUGCUCAUUCUUGCACAUUAUUAUUUCCGUAGGCCAAUACUUUAUUUGUACUUACACGUUGUAACUCUGAAACUAUAUACCAUUUCACUAAUUUUACAUAUUGACUCAUAAAUGUUUUGUUCUAUAUUAUGUAAACUGAUUCUGGUAAUGUCCGCUGGAAGAAUAGCUCUGUAUGGGGCCAGGUGCUGGUGUCUGACGCUAAUUGGGAAUCUCUGUGCCAGAAUUUAGGUGAUAUGGAGACUCAUUUUAUGUUGCGACCCACUAUGGUGAAAGAUCAGAGAGUAGUGCUAGUCAUAUUAGCAAUGUUCAAGGUUCCAAGUACUGUAUCUCUAACUAAUGUAAAAAAAAGUUAUGACUCAAAGCCGGUUACCAAAUGUUUCUGAGGUGAUAGACAUUUUGAAAUGUAUUGCUCGCUGUGCCAGUGGGAUCCAAUGCCCUCUCUCACAAAUUUUUAGCUUUGACACCUGUUUGUUGUUUUUGCCCUUACUUGUGUUCCUGAUCACUGUCUUUAUUUAAGUUCCUCCUUUCCUAUUGUAUCUUCUCGAUCAUUAUUUGGUUCUCAUGCCACUGUAAUGUUGAUUUGUGUUUUUGUGUGUAGUUUUUGUCACUUCUUA